rnacentral:rRNA from 1 species
AUGAGGAAUCAUUCAAGUCGGACGAAGAGAGCGAGGAUGAGGACGACGACGAAGACAAUGAAUCAGAACCAGACAGCGGUAACUAAGGGGAUGACAGUGGAGACAAUGGUUCAUAUGAUGAUGAUGAUGAUGACAACACCAGUCAUGGAGGCAAUGUCAGAGACAAUUCUGCCGAGGAUGAGGGGGAGAAGGAUAAUGAUGAGACAGAGAAAGUUGUUGAAGAUGAGGACAGUGAGGAUCAUGUUGAGAAGGGUAGAGGCAAGAGAAAUGAUGAUGGAAAUGGAGACGAUGAGGACCAUGGCGGAGGAGCCAAUACAGGAGGUUCCAGCAGGACAAACAAUUCUGGUGGAGAUGAAGGAGGAAGAAGUUCAACAGCAGUAG